UACAGAGGGUGCGAGCGUUAAUCGGAAUUACUGGGCGUAAAGCGUGCGUAGUCGGUUAUCUAAGUCGGGUGUGAAAUCCCCGGGCUCAACCUGGGAAUUGCAUUCGAUACUGGAUAGCUAGAGUUCGGCAGAGGGAAGCGGAAUUUCGGGUGUAGCGGUGAAAUGCGUAGAUAUCCGAAGGAACAUCAGUGGCGAAAGCGGCUUCCUGGACCAGAACUGACGAUCAGGCACGAAAGCGUGGGGAGCAAACAGG
rnacentral:rRNA from 1 species